rnacentral:rRNA from 1 species
GACGUAGGGCGCGAGCGUUGUCCGGAUUUAUUGGGCGUAAAGAGCUCGUAGGCGGCUUGUCGCGUCGUUCGUGAAAACCUGCGGCUCAACUGCAGGCUUGCGGUCGAUACGGGCAGGCUGGAGUUCGGUAGGGGAGACUGGAAUUCCUGGUGUAGCGGUGAAAUGCGCAGAUAUCAGGAGGAACACCGGUGGCGAAGGCGGGUCUCUGGGCCGAUACUGACGCUGGAG